CUCAUCUAAUAGUUUCCUCAAGAGCUCCCAGUAUAUUUGGAUGCAUAGGUCGGCAGUGCCUCAGACCUGUUGCGGUUGUUGGAGCACCAGAACGUAGCGACUGCGGCGAAAUGAACAGGCAACUGGUGGCCUUGGCUGUGCUGCUGACGCUGGCGCUGUGUUUCGUGACGCUGCAGGCGAAUCCGGUGGCUGACCCGCAUCAUAACCACUAUUGGAACUAUGACGGUGACUACGGAUACCACGACCACUGGUACCACCCUCACCCCCACUGGUGGCAUCACCCACACCAACAUUGGUGGUGAUGGUGACUACAGAUAAUGACACAGCCACGACCACAGGCACCAACACGACCACUGCUGAGAUAAAGUUACUUUGGCGCCUUCGUUAUUUCUACAUAAUACCUUAGUUUAACGAUGAUAGCGACAGUGUGUGCUUUUUCUUUGACUUUGUAUUGAAAAUAGCAAGAACGUAAGAAUUAGGAUGUACAUUUGAAUAUUUACUGUUUUAAAUUAAAUAUUUAGCAUGAAAAAUAUUUUAACUUAGCUGAUUUAAACUGUAGUUAACUCGGAACAUUCAAAUAUUUAAUGCUUCCUUAACCUGUUGGUUUUCAGUUAUUUUGUUCCACUUUCUGGGUGUAUGUACUUGGAUGCGAUGUUUGUGUCCUAUUGGAAGAAAUUCGUACCAUAUUAGUGCAAAAAAAAUAGAUUACUAUGAAACCGAUGUUAACUAAGUUUCUGAUUCCGAUCAUGCACCAACUGAUUAAUCAAUUGUUACAUUUUAAGUAUCUGCCACUAUAUUAGUCGAUGAAAUAUAUUACUUUAUGUUUAUUCGACAACACAUACCUUUAAAGCAAUUACUUUUAUUCCAUUUAUCAAUAUAAGACAUAUUAUAAGAAUUUCAGUUUAGAUUAAUCUAUGUAAACAUUUUAUCUAUGUAAUAAACCACGUUCUGAAACUUGAA